CCUACCCAUUUCUUGACUCGAUUUUUUAGUUUUUGGGUGCUGAGUUUGAUACAUUAUAGAUUUUUUUAAAGCUGUCAUUCUAGUGUCUUAUUUCAUUGCCCUAGAUCCAGACCCACCAUCAGAUUUGAUGAUUUUGGGGCAGGAAGAAAACACAAUAUAUUUGUCUUGGAAACUUCCACAAGGAGGCUUUGAAAAGUUUCAGAUACAUCUUUCUGCUUUACAAACAUGAAAUAUGGAGUGAAGAAGACUAAAGUUUAUUACAGCUUUUAAUGCAUCAAUAAAUCUCUAAGAUAUCCUAUAGUAUGGCAUCUAGAAAGGAAAAGAUAUUUAAAAUAAUUGUAUAUGGUAACAAAGCCAAAGUAAAGAAUUUGAUUCCAGGCAUGGACUACAUGUUGGACCUGAAGACAGUUAGAGGCAAAGAUUACAGUUUAUCUGCAACGAAGAAAGUGGCUACAAAACCAUCUAGGAUAUGUGGCUUAACGUUAAAAGCUGUGAAUACUACUUCUGCCAAUUUAAUGUGGAAUCCAACAGAGACCAACUUCACUCAUUACAAGAUUUAUAUAUCAAACAGAACAUUUGUACAAGAAUAUCUUAUUUGGGGAAUUAUUACAGAGCACACAGUUACAGAUCUGACUCCUGGUGGAAUAUAUAACAUCACAGUACAUAGAAUGAGAGGCAGUGUUGAAGGACCUGGCACAUUUAUCAGAGCUGUUGCAGGUAUACAAACUCUUGGUGAUAUUUUAAAAAUUCAUAUUUGUGUUGCAUAUUAUACUGUUCAAAAUAAAAGUUCAAUGCAUUUUUUGCA
rnacentral:lncRNA from 1 species